GGCGAACGGGUGAGUAACACGUAGGUAACCUGCCUUUCAGUUUGGGAUAACUUGAGGAAACUCAUGCUAAUACCAUAUACGAUCUUCGGAUGAAAGUCUUCGGACGCUGAGAGAGGGGCCUGCGGGGUAUUAGAUAGUUGGUGGGGUAACGGCCUACCAAGUCGACGAUAUCUAGCUGGUCUGAGAGGAUGAUCAGCCACACUGGAACUGAGACACGGUCCAGACUCCUACGGGGGGCAGCAGUGGGGAAUAUUGGACAAUGGGGGAAACCCUGAUCCAGCUACGCCGCGUGAGUGAUGAAGGCCCUAGGGUUGUAAAACUCUGUCGUGAGUGAGGAAAUCAGACGUUAGCUCACAAGAAAGCACCGGCUAACUCCGUGCCAGCAGCCGCGGUAAUACGGAGGGUGCAAGCGUUGCUCGGAAUUACUGGGCGUAAAGGGUGCGCAGGCGGAUUGUUAAGCAAGAUGUGAAAGCCCAGGGCUCAACCCUGGAACUGCAUCUUGAACUGGCAAUCUUGAGUCCGUGAGAGGGGGGUAGAAUUCCAGGUGUAGAGGUGAAAUUCGUUGAUAUCUGGAGGAAUACCAGUGGCGAAGGCGGCCCCCUGGCACGGUACUGACGCUGAGGCACGAAAGCGUGGGGAGCAAACAGGAU
rnacentral:rRNA from 1 species